CCAUUCCUACAUAACAAACCACCUCAAAACAUAGCGACUUGGAACAACAAUUUAUUUUUCCUUAUAAUUAUGUGGGUUGGCUAGAGAGUUGCUUUGCUAGCUUCAUCUGGGCUCGCACAAAUGGCUGUGUUCUCUGGAGGUGUGGGGGGAGGGUCAACUGUGCUGGAAGAUACGAGAUAGACUCACUCAACCUGGCAGUUGCUGUUGAAUGUCAUCUGGUAUGUUCUGGUUUAUUGCUACAUAGACUGGUGGUCUACUUUGUAAUCUCAGGUCACUGCUCUGAGAGUACAAAGCCAGAAAAUGCAAGGCGUGUUGAGGCUUGGGCUGGGGUCAUGCACAGCAUCACUUCCAUUGGCACUGUAUUGGCGAAAGCUAUCACAAAGUGACCUGACUCAAGGGAAGAGGAAAUAAAGCCCAUUUCUCUCUCACAUUUUCAAUCCUCACCUGAGGACAUUUUUUUUUCCAAUGCUUUUUAGAGAGAGAAAGGGAGAGAAAGAAACAUCAGUGUGAGAGAGGAGCAUCUAUUGGUUGCAUCAGUGUGUGUCUGGAACAGAUAUUGCACGUGCCUGGACCGGGAACCUGGCUAGCAACCCAGGUAUGUGUCCGACCAGGAAUUGAACCCACAACCCUUUGGCUUUGAGGUGAUGCUCCAACCAACUGAGUCAUACCAGCCAGGGCUAAACCCCAUCUCUUGAUGAGAAAAACAUUCACAUUCAUACUGCAAAGGAGCAGGGGUAAAUUAUUGUGGCCAUCUUUCAAAACAAUGGUGCGUGGAGUCAUUGUGUAGUAAAUGGGUCAGAGAAAGUGUGGUUGGCUUCCUCACUUUCCUGUGCAGCAGGAGUUCCUACUAGGGCCUGUCUGCUGAUGUUGCAUGUGGUCUCACCCUUCCCCCUCCCUCGCCGCCUCUUCCAUGGCAGCCAGAAAGGAUGACUGCCUGUAUCCACCCUGCACUAACUCGGGACUGGGCAAUGGGAACUGGAAACUGAGGCCUGGUCACCUUUUCUUGUAUCCUAGUGACAUGGUUAGGUGUAAACCAGUUGGAACUAAUCAUCUCUAGAAAAAAAAAAUUCUCCACCUGAUCGAUCCAGCACAGGUGACUGUGGAUCUUUGUUUUGUGGUUUGUUAAUUGUUCUCUUCCAUGUGUUUUCUUUAGGAAACACAUGAGAUUUCUUUAGGAAAUCUCAGGAUUGGUAGGAGAAGCAUGCCUAACACCGUAUCAGACACAUUGAGGUCCCUCAGUAAAUGUCUAAAGAAACCACCGUGGGCUGCUCAAAACUGUAGAGAGUGGUUGUGUUUUCCAGUGCUUUCCAUGCAUAACAACUGCCCCAUGCUUCUGUGGUACUCUCUUAGUGUUUGUCGACUGACAAAUGCAUGCACAAAUGUAUGAGCCCUGCUUAUGAUCCGUUCAAUGCAUCAGCGUCGGCUGGUUUUGUGAGAACAUGGACUUUUAAGGGAGUCAAUUGAGUAGCCUCCCUGAGAGAUGAUCAACCCUGUCCCCAUUCUAUUUUGGGCUCUCCCUGCACUGGGAGCCGGCUGGCCAGCCUGCCCGACUCCUGAUGGACUUCGCCGUCUCAGAGCCUCACUCUGGGGCCUGGGAGACUGCCUCCCACUACGGUGUGCUCUCUUUGGGAAAUUUCAAUGGCUUCUGAAUUACUUAUAGGCCCAGAAGUGAGCGACGCCCAUUAUUAGAACGCAGGCUUUAAAAUGACUCCAUUUCAAGUUGCCGGCUUGGCAGCCUGACCCUGUCCUCAGAGAAUGCAGCCUGGUCACGAAGGAGACAGACUUUUGAAAAAAUAACAAUAUGGUCAAGGAGUGAAGGAAAUGACCUUGGAAGUACCUUGCACUUGCAUAAGCCAUGCUUUGCCUGUUUUCCCAUGUAUAAUGUGGCCAAAGUUCGGAUUUCUUUUCUCAGGAUGGAAUCACACCAGCAGUUUUUCCCUCAAUCUGAUCAACUUGAAACAAGCAGUUCGUUCCUCUCUGGCAGCUGACUUUUUAAUCCUGGGUCACAUGUCACUUCUAAUUGUGGCAUGAUGUUCGAGUUCCCCUUGGGCCUAAAUUUCACCCGAGUAAAUCCUGUCUUUUGGCGGCUGCAGAACGUGUCCAGCAGAGUGAUGUCCAGGCACACCCAUGCCUCCUGCAAGAGGGAGCAGCUUAGCCAGUAUGGACCUCAGGAAGUCAGUCUCCUUCAACGGACUUUGUAGCCAUGCCCACAUGGCUGCCCUGAGCCAGCCACUCAAGGACAGAGACCAGAGACUGCAGGGGGAGGAGAAGGAACAGGAACCCUGGUGUUGGGGAUGUCCUUCCUACUUCUAAGUAAAUGGGCAGUGUUUUCAGGGGAGAAUGUGCUGGAAUGACUGGGACGUUGAAAAAUAACCUGAGCUGAACUCUUACCUGGCUGGGUUAAAUGGAAUCUGGGCUUCUCACUAGAGUGGGGCCACUUCCGCAGAAAGCCUCAGGGGUAAUUUACUCACCCUGAGCGAUGUUCUCAGAUAUCCUCAGAGAAGGUCGGAUUUCUUCCUAGGGUGAAGCACCCUGACAGUUACGUGAGCCAGAAGUUUCCUUUUGCCCCAACAUUUUAUUAUGGAAAAGUUCAAACAUCUGACAAACUUGAAAGAGUUUUACAGUGAGCACCAGUGGACUUGCCGUGGAUUCUACCAUUCGCACCUUGCUAUACCUGCUCUAUUUUACUUGUGUGUAUUGCUCCAUCCAGCCGUCAGCCCAUGUUUUUUGGAUGCAGUUCAGAGCCAAUCACAGAUAUUGCUGUAUUUCCCCUGAACACGUAUGCAUGUAACCAGAAUUCAGUAUUUGUUUAUAGAUUUUUCUUCCUAUGGGAUAAAAUUUGCUUACAUU